UUAAGUUAGAAAGGGCGCACGGUGGAUGCCUUGACACUAGGAGUCGAUGAAGGACGGGACUAACGCCGAUAUGCUUCGGGGAGCUGUAAGUAAGCUUUGAUCCGAAGAUUUCCGAAUGGGGAAACCCACCAUACGUAAUGGUAUGGUAUCCUUAUCUGAAUACAUAGGGUAAGGAAGACAGACCCAGGGAACUGAAACAUCUAAGUACCUGGAGGAAGAGAAAGCAAAUGCGAUUUCCUGAGUAGCGGCGAGCGAAACGGAACAUAGCCCAAACCAAGAGGCUUGCCUCUUGGGGUUGUAGGACAUUCUAUACGGAGUUACAAAGGAACGAGGUAGACGAAGCGACCUGGAAAGGUCCGUCGUAGAGGGUAACAACCCCGUAGUCGAAACUUCGUUCUCUCUUGAAUGUAUCCUGAGUACGGCGGAACACGUGAAAUUCCGUCGGAAUCUGGGAGGACCAUCUCCCAAGGCUAAAUACUCCCUAGUGAUCGAUAGUGAACCAGUACCGUGAGGGAAAGGUGAAAAGCACCCCGGAAGGGGAGUGAAAGAGAUCCUGAAACCGUGUGCCUACAAAUAGUCAGAGCCCGUUAACGGGUGAUGGCGUGCCUUUUGUAGAAUGAACCGGCGAGUUACGAUCCCGUGCGAGGUUAAGCUGAAGAGGCGGAGCCGCAGCGAAAGCGAGUCUGAAUAGGGCGUUUAGUACGUGGUCGUAGACCCGAAACCAGGUGAUCUACCCAUGUCCAGGGUGAAGUUCAGGUAACACUGAAUGGAGGCCCGAACCCACGCACGUUGAAAAGUGCGGGGAUGAGGUGUGGGUAGCGGAGAAAUUCCAAUCGAACCUGGAGAUAGCUGGUUCUCCCCGAAAUAGCUUUAGGGCUAGCCUUAAGUGUAAGAGUCUUGGAGGUAGAGCACUGAUUGGACUAGGGGUCCUCAUCGGAUUACCGAAUUCAGUCAAACUCCGAAUGCCAAUGACUUAUCCUUAGGAGUCAGACUGCGAGUGAUAAGAUCCGUAGUCAAAAGGGAAACAGCCCAGACCGCCAGCUAAGGUCCCAAAGUGUGUAUUAAGUGGAAAAGGAUGUGGAGUUGCUUAGACAACUAGGAUGUUGGCUUAGAAGCAGCCACCAUUUAAAGAGUGCGUAAUAGCUCACUAGUCGAGUGACUCUGCGCCGAAAAUGUACCGGGGCUAAAUACACCACCGAAGCUGCGGAUUGAUACCAAUGGUAUCAGUGGUAGGGGAGCGUUCUAAGGACAGUGAAGUCAGACCGGAAGGACUGGUGGAGUGCUUAGAAGUGAGAAUGCCGGUAUGAGUAGCGAAAGACGGGUGAGAAUCCCGUCCACCGAAUGCCUAAGGUUUCCUGAGGAAGGCUCGUCCGCUCAGGGUUAGUCAGGACCUAAGCCGAGGCCGACAGGCGUAGGCGAUGGACAACAGGUUGAUAUUCCUGUACCACCUCUUUAUCGUUUGAGCAAUGGAGGGACGCAGAAGGAUAGGAGAAGCGUGCGAUUGGUUGUGCACGUCCAAGCAGUUAGGCUGAUAAGUAGGCAAAUCCGCUUAUCGUAAAGGCUGAGCUGUGAUGGGGAAGCUCCUUAUGGAGCGAAGUCUUUGAUUCCCCGCUGCCAAGAAAAGCUUCUAGCGAGAUAAAAGGUGCCUGUACCGCAAACCGACACAGGUAGGCGAGGAGAGAAUCCUAAGGUGUGCGAGAGAACUCUGGUUAAGGAACUCGGCAAAAUGACCCCGUAACUUCGGGAGAAGGGGUGCUUUCUUAACGGAAAGCCGCAGUGAAUAGGCCCAAGCGACUGUUUAGCAAAAACACAGCUCUCUGCGAAGCCGUAAGGCGAAGUAUAGGGGGUGACACCUGCCCGGUGCUGGAAGGUUAAGGAGAGGGGUUAGCGUAAGCGAAGCUCUGAACUGAAGCCCCAGUAAACGGCGGCCGUAACUAUAACGGUCCUAAGGUAGCGAAAUUCCUUGUCGGGUAAGUUCCGACCCGCACGAAAGGUGUAACGAUUUGGGCACUGUCUCAACCAGAGACUCGGUGAAAUUAUAGUACCUGUGAAGAUGCAGGUUACCCGCGACAGGACGGAAAGACCCCGUGGAGCUUUACUGUAGCCUGAUAUUGAAUUUUGGUACAGUUUGUACAGGAUAGGCGGGAGCCAUUGAAACCGGAGCGCUAGCUUCGGUGGAGGCGCUGGUGGGAUACCGCCCUGACUGUAUUGAAAUUCUAACCUACGGGUCUUAUCGACCCGGGAGACAGUGUCAGGUGGGCAGUUUGACUGGGGCGGUCGCCUCCUAAAGUGUAACGGAGGCGCCCAAAGGUUCCCUCAGAAUGGUUGGAAAUCAUUCGUAGAGUGCAAAGGCAUAAGGGAGCUUGACUGCGAGACCUACAAGUCGAGCAGGGACGAAAGUCGGGCUUAGUGAUCCGGUGGUUCCGCAUGGAAGGGCCAUCGCUCAACGGAUAAAAGCUACCCCGGGGAUAACAGGCUUAUCUCCCCCAAGAGUCCACAUCGACGGGGAGGUUUGGCACCUCGAUGUCGGCUCAUCGCAUCCUGGGGCUGUAGUCGGUCCCAAGGGUUGGGCUGUUCGCCCAUUAAAGCGGUACGCGAGCUGGGUUCAGAACGUCGUGAGACAGUUCGGUCCCUAUCCGUCGUGGGCGUAGGAAAUUUGAGAGGAGCUGUCCUUAGUACGAGAGGACCGGGAUGGACGCACCGCUGGUGUACCAGUUGUUCUGCCAAGGGCAUAGCUGGGUAGCUAUGUGCGGAAGGGAUAAGUGCUGAAAGCAUCUAAGCAUGAAGCCCCCCUCAAGAUGAGAUUUCCCAUAGCGUAAGCUAGUAAGAUCCCUGAAAGAUGAUCAGGUUGAUAGGUUCGAGGUGGAAGCAUGGUGACAUGUGGAGCUGACGAAUACUAAUAGAUCGAGGACUUAACCAU
rnacentral:rRNA from 1 species